rnacentral:rRNA from 1 species
CAGCAGCCGCGGGAAUACGAAGGGGGCUAGCGUUGUUCGGAUUUACUGGGCGUAAAGCGCACGUAGGCGGACUUUUAAGUCAGGGGUGAAAUCCCGGGGCUCAACCCCGGAACUGCCUUUGAUACUGGAAGUCUUGAGUAUGGUAGAGGUGAGUGGAAUUCCGAGUGUAGAGGUGAAAUUCGUAGAUAUUCGGAGGAACACCAGUGGCGAAGGCGGCUCACUGGACCAUUACUGACGCUGAGGUGCGAAAGCGUGGGGAGCAAACAGGAUUAGAUACCCGCGUAGUCCCUGUCUCUUAUAC